CCCACCCUGGAAACGGCUCAGC
rnacentral:snRNA from 1 species